rnacentral:snRNA from 1 species
ACUCCACUUUGCACCUAGCUGA